AUACGGUCGCGCUAAUUUAAAAAUUAGUGAGGAAAGUCCGGACUCCAUGUAGCCUCUGACAUAUUGAGGUAGGUGCCAACGAAAGUUGGGAGGGAGUGAUCUUUCGGAGAAAAGGGCAACAGAAAGUUAUACCGCCUAAGCAAUUAGGUAAGGGUGAAAAGGUAGUGUAAGAGACUACCGGGUAUUGUAGUAAUACAAUAUUGCGAGGUAACCCCCCCUGGAGCAAGGUUUAACCGCAUAGAUAGAUGAUCGUUUAAUACAGAAUCCGGCUUAUUUGGUACUUACACAA
rnacentral:RNase_P_RNA from 2 species